rnacentral:tRNA from 1 species
GCCUUUGUGGUGUAGUGGUCAGCACGCUCGACGCGUAUUCGAGAGGUCCGUGGUUCGACUCCUGGCGAAGGCG